CUCGUCCACUUGGGGGCAUACACACGUGAGUAUUUCAGAGACGUCUGCAAAUUUCACACAUCCUUCGAACUCGCACAAUUUUGAUCUUUUGAUCGCGCUCUUGUGCCAUCAAUAUUAAAUGCACAGAUCUAAUUCCGUAUUCAGUAAUAAAACGUACUGAUAAAGGAUUUUAGCUCUUGAAUGACACCUAGUUCGUAUAUAUCAUUCCAACUAGCACAAUUGACCAAAUACGAGCCGACUAAAAAUUGCCGGUCAAAACCCAAUUUUCCCACUUUUGAGUUUUGUUCAUAAUUAUGCAGUACCGCAAGAAAGAGCGCAUAAAAAAAGGCAAUCGAACUUUGGC